GACGAACGCUGGCGGCGUGCUUAACACAUGCAAGUCGAACGGAAAGGCCCUGCUUUUGUGGGGUGCUCGAGUGGCGAACGGGUGAGUAACACGUGAGUAACCUGCCCUUGACUUUGGGAUAACUUCAGGAAACUGGGGCUAAUACCGGAGAGGAGCUCCUGCUGCAUGGGGGGGGUUGGAAAGUUUCGGCGGUUGGGGAUGGACUCGCGGCUUAUCAGCUGGUUGGGGGGGUAGUGGCUUACCAAGGCUUUGACGGGUAGCCGGCCUGAGAGGGUGAACGGCCACAUUGCGCCUGCGAUACGGCCCAGUCUCCUACGGGACGCAGCAGUGGGGAAUAUUGCACAAUGGGCGGACGCCUGAUGCAGCAACGCCGCGUGCGUGAUGACGGCCUUCGGGUUGUAAACCGCUUUCGCCUGUGCCGAAGCGUGCGUGACGGUAAUGGGUCAAGAAGCACCGGCUAACUACGUG
rnacentral:rRNA from 1 species